rnacentral:ncRNA from 1 species
AAGUCGUAACAAGGUUUCCAUAGACAUAAGUUUCGGAGCAGAUCUCCCGGCUGGUCCGGGGUCUAAUCGCCUGGGGGUUUUCCCCCCAUCGAUUUUAACGAUCCUUCCGUAGAGACACUUAUAGAGGCCUUUGCCGCCCUGCAAUGGGUUACUACCACGACAGAAAAUAAUGGUAGGGCAAGUCAGAAAUGGCAACAUGAUCGAAUUGCGGGAAGCCUUAAAAGCCAGUGGUACUAACUGUGGCCAGAAAUAGUCACAGGGCCUAUGCUAAUUACAUAGGGAAGUAAAAAUCCACUUGGAUGUACAAUAGGUAAUCCGCAGCGAAGCCCCUAAGGCCCUUGGGGGCUAUGGGGAACGUUCACAGACUAAGUGAUUAUGGGCAUGAGAAGCAUGCUUAAGAUAUAGUCGGGGUCCUUGAAGGGAAACUCAGGGGUUAAAGUCCACUACAUUUUUUAGGGGAAUAAGUCGCAUACUGACAAGUAAAUCAUUCCCUAAAUAUAAAACCGUUCCGUAGGUGAACCUGCGGAAGGAUCAUUACAGAGUUCAUGCCCUUCGGGGUAGAUCUCCCACCCUUGUGUAUCAUUAUAGAAUGUUGCUUUGGCGGGCCUGGAUUCGCGUCGGCGUGCCCGCCAGAGGACCCUAAACUCUGAAUGUUAGUGUGCGUCCUGAGUACUAUUAAAUAGUUAAAA